UAAGGUAUCUGAGACGACAGAUUAAUACAGUUUUAUUAAGUUUCAGACAGUGACGGAUGGCUGAAAUAUGCGAAUAUGUGUGGAAAUAGAGGAAAAAGUCGUUUCUGACACUGAAAAGCGAAUUUAACAUUUAAGUGAGUCAAAUGAGUUAAAAUAAGUGAAUACGACUUUCUGCUCUAAUGUAAACGCCUGCAUUUGUCCAUAUCGACAUGUAAAUCAUACAAAUUACGUACAAUAUAGUCGGAUCGCAGGUCUAAAAGAAGCGACGAUCCGGCUCAAAUAAACCGGUUCAUUAAUUCUCGAACAAAGUGAUUCCCGGAAAAGAAUCGACGUCUCAGGGCAUUUCAAAGUGCGCGCACGCACAGCGAGUGACGCAGGCCGCGUUAGUGAGGUGAUUAGAUGCUUGUGUGGUUUAUAAAGUCUUUUUACAUACAAGUUAUAAUUCAAAAUGUUGUUUUUUCCUGUCAGAAAAGCACAUGGAUACAUUUGUGAGAGAAAAACUCGUCGAGUGCAGUCUUAUUGAGGCGUCUAACGGUUGGAACAAACAUGGAAUUCCUUAACCGAGCAGAGUCCACAAAACCCCAUCCAGUUGUCGUGGCGAUUUAAAAAUGCCAUCAGAUCUCUGAGGCAUUGAUCAUAAUCAAUGGACAGGUCACCGUAGCCGCCAGAUCCAGUCUGUAUCCAGAUCAGAGGGUCACUGCAGUCACCUGGAUCCAGUACGUAUCCAGACCAGAUGGUGGAUCAGCACCUAGAAAGGACCUCUACAUCCCUGAAAAACAGCGGAGACCAGGACAACUAGAGCCCCAGAUACAGAUCCCCUGUAAAGACCUUGUCUCAGACGACCACCAGGACAAGACC